rnacentral:lncRNA from 1 species
CUGGCUCCCCUCGAACUUCCUUCGAGUCCUUCUUGUGGUCUUCGAUUGGCAAAGUCUCCACUAAUUAUUUUCCUUUUAUGGUCGCCAAAAAGCAUUGUCAGAUGAGCACUCGAUCUCUUGAAACUUCUCCAAUGCCAUUCCUACUCAGGAAUCUCACUAGUAGAUGGUAUGUGGAGAGUAUCGCUAAAAAGGCAUUCAAUUUGGGCCAUCUAAGAAUCAC